rnacentral:rRNA from 1 species
CACGUAGGGCGCAAGCGUUGUCCGGAAUUAUUGGGCGUAAAGAGCUCGUAGGCGGUCUGUUACGUCUGCUGUGAAAACCCUGGGCUUAACCCUGGGCUUGCAGUGGAUACAGGCAGACUAGAGGCAGGUAGGGGAGAAUGGAAUUCCCGGUGUAGCGGUGAAAUGCGCAGAUAUCGGGAGGAACACCGGUGGCGAAGGCGGUUCUCUGGGCCUGACCUGACGCUGAGGAGCGAAAGCGUGGGGAGCGAACAGG